AUUGAACGCUGGCGGCAUGCCUUACACAUGCGAGUCGAACGGUAACGGGCCUUCGGGUGCCGACGAGUGGCGAACGGGUGAGUAAUGUAUCGGAACGUACCUUUCAGUGGGGGAUAACGUAGCGAAAGUUACGCUAAUACCGCAUAUUCUGUGAGCAGGAAAGCAGGGGAUCGCAAGACCUUGCGCUGAUUGAGCGGCCGAUAUCAGAUUAGCUAGUUGGUGGGGUAAAGGCUCGCCAAGGCGACGAUCUGUAGCGGGUCUGAGAGGAUGAUCCGCCACACUGGAACUGAGACACGGUCCAGACUCCUACGGGAGGCAGCAGUGGGGAAUUUUGGACAAUGGGGGCAACCCUGAUCCAGCCAUGCCGCGUGAGUGAAGAAGGCCUUCGGGUUGUAAAGCUCUUUCGGCCGGGAAGAAAUCGUAUCAGCUAAUACCUGGUGCGGAUGACGGUACCGGCAUAAGAAGCACCGGCUAACUACGUGCCAGCAGCCGCAGUAAAAC
rnacentral:rRNA from 1 species